GCGGGAAAAGAUCUUAACCCGUGAUUGCUGGGACUGGCUCAAGCUCCACCAGGAGCCGUCGUUCUUUUACAAAGAGGGGUGGAGGUUCCAGUGGAGGCUGUUGUUGCCUUUUUUUUUUUUUUUUUAAUGAAUGGAGGGCGGCGGCGACUGCUGCAGCUGGGCCAGCUGCGCGGGCUGCACCCCCUCCCAGCCUGCGAGAGGAGGAAGCUAGUAGAAGAUUUGUACCAACAAAACCAAGGAGUAAACAACUUGAGAAUAACUGCAUGAGCUCAGGGCUUGGACUGUCAGAUUCCAUUUCUAAGCUUCCAGAAGAGCGACACAUAGACACUGGGGAAGUCAGAGCCUUUGAACUCCAAUGCCAUCCCCGUCACCCACCUCCACCACCAGCACCACCACCGAAUGGCACUUUGGACAAUUUUUCCCUCUCAUGUGACUUUUGUCAUUUCUUACGUCAGUUGGAGCCAGCACCUCUCAAAUCCAUCUUCUAAAACCCAGAAAAUUGUGUGUAACACAUGAUGACUGAAAGGGAGUAGGCUGACCAGUUAAGAGCCUGCCACUGGAAUGGAAGGCUGUGGGAAGGUGAGGGGACGGUGGACAUCAACCGGGAAGAGCUGAAAGAUGGCGUUACCAGAUAAGGAAACUGAGUCUCAGGGAGGUCAAGAGACAUGCCAAAGCACAGCUUGGAAGUGGUCCAUUGGAUUCGAAGGGGUCCUCACACGAAGCAGGAAGUCACCCUGUAUCUCAGAACUGUGGAGAUCUCAGUCCGUGGUCAUCUUGUCAUACAUGACAUGGCAGGAGCCAUGGUCCAGGGAACCAGGUGGCUGCCAACUUGCAGAACAGGCGACAAAACCCCAGCCUGGACCCCCAGACCAUGCACUUCUCCCUUUGCCCUGCUUCUCCUCUGCCUGGUACAGGUUUCCAGCCAAGCUCUGCACCGGCUUCUAUGUCUGUUUGUUUUCCUUAGAAGCUUCCUAUAGAAAGCACCAG
rnacentral:lncRNA from 10 species